rnacentral:rRNA from 1 species
AUUGAACGCUGGCGGCAUGCUUUACACAUGCAAGUCGAGCGGCAGCGCGGGGGCAACCCUGGCGGCGAGCGGCGAACGGGUGAGUAAUGCAUCGGAACGUACCCUGGAGUGGGGGAUAACGCCGCGAAAGCGGCGCUAAUACCGCAUAUGCUCUGAGGAGGAAAGUGGGGGACCUGCAAGGGCCUCACGCUCUGGGAGCGGCCGAUGUCCGAUUAGCUAGUUGGUGGGGUAAAGGCUUACCAAGGCGACGAUCGGUAGCUGGUCUGAGAGGAUGAUCAGCCACACUGGGACUGAGACACGGCCCAGACUCCUACGGGAGGCAGCAGUGGGGAAUUUUGGACAAUGGGGGGCAACCCUGAUCCAGCCAUGCCGCGUGAGUGAAGAAGGCCU